rnacentral:lncRNA from 1 species
UAUGGUGGCUCACACUUUUAAUCCCAGCACUCAGGAGGCAGAGGUAGGUAGAUCUCUCUGAGUUUGUGGGCAGCCUGUUCUAUGGCAAGCUUCAAGACAGUUGGGGCUACAUAACAUCCCUGUCUCGAAAAUAAAACCCCCACAAAGCACAACCAGAAUAAAACUUGGGCAUGGUGGCACAUCCCUUUUAAGGUCCCAGACAUAGUGCACACUUAUGAGCCUCAAAUUGGAGAGAUGGAGACAAAAGAAUCAGAAACUUGUGGUCACCUUUGAUUACACAAUGAGCGCAAGGUCAGCUUGGAUUGAUUCAGCAAGUUUCUAUCUUAAAACAAAAAAAUAGAGCAUUGGGGUCCCUCUACCCGCUUCCACUUUGUGUGGCAAGAAUAUAGAGUUCUGGUGAGGAAGCAGAGCCCAGGGGCUCAGAGCAGGUACUCAGAGACCCCAGCAGGGCCAGUCCAAGGACUGUGCUAACCAAAGAGCCUGCUCCACAGCAGAUUGGAGCAGACUACGUACCCAAAGAAAUGCUUCCUGAAGAAGUCACUGUGAAGAACUCAUGUCAAGGGGCAACCCUUGCCUUCUCAAGUCCAGAAUGGAGUCUUCUCGGUAAAAUGUUUUCCAGACCUGCUGGCUGGCACUUAGAUAUCUAGGAGUGGCCUCAAAUCACUAACUUAUUAACUCAGCAAUGGUGGUAGGCAACAUUACAAGCACCACAACAUAUGAAACAGGAACUAUUGCCCCAAAAAGAGGGGGAGGGGUUCCAUCUACCUGAAGCUAUACAACUAGGACAACCAGGAUGGGAGUGUAUCUGGUGCCAGCCUUUCCAAGUCUAGUCUUUCUUCCUGCAAUGUAUGAGGUGGAGCCCCCAAGUCCCCUGUGCCUCAGAUGCUCAGCUCCCACAACACCGGAGAGUCGCGCACUCCUGUACACACUGAGUCAGUCCCUUUAUUACUCUCUCAGAUGCUGGUGACCUGCCAUCUGUGACAAGCUGUCUCGGGCACCUCUCCCCACUUCAUUCCUUUGGGCUGUGGAAAGAACCAGAUCCGGUCUGGGUCUCCUCUCUCCAUUGGCCCUGACUCUGUCCUAGGGUUCAAAAUCACCUUCCUUGGGAGGUGGGAGGAGCGGGGGCUCUGCUCCUUCCCUGAGCCCCCUUCCCCACGUGAAGGGUGUCCUGGGGCAAGUCUUUCCUCCAUGAAAAGGGGAUGGAAUGAGGGAGGGACAGAGGGUAUUUCGCAGGGGUGGGUGAAAGCUGAGAAUUCCAGAAGGGAGGAAGGAGUGAAUAUGGGUGAGACCUGAAAGGGAAGAAGCAAUGGGGUUGGGAGGAUCCUAAGGGGAUGAGGCCCUGUAGCAGGUGUUUGGAAUCACAGCUACCCCAGAGCCCAAGGUGGAAAGGCACCGCCACCCUCUGGACCCGGUGCUGAAGUCCCUUGCGCUACCGCGGCCGCCCGGCCAU